GGUCUCUUGUGUAAACCUUGCUACCCUGUCAGGUGGCUAGAGGUAGGAGCCGGAGAAGCCGUCUCUUAGCUGGGCAAGAAAAAGUUUUGUGAAGAAAGAACUGCUUACCAUUAAAAGACUAUUGCCUGUCCAUUACCUAUGCUGGGCACUUUAAAAACGAGGCACAGUCUGGAGAGGAGACACUGUGGGGAAUAGCCGAUUCUGUGUGCCUGGAGACAAUAAGAAAAUGGGACAUCAGCAUAUGGAUGAUUCCUGAAUCCAACUUCAGUUGAUAGUUCUUACUCGAGCCCUUAAUAGAAGAGAGUAAGGGUGACUGAUAGAAGGUAACCUCCUGUUCCAUUUCACCAUAUGGUGGAAGAUCUUGAGAUAUUAAAAAGUCCCAAAGGUGGGCAGAUACAGGAUGAGAGAUCUGAAUAGACAGAGAGAACAAGUAGCUUCCAUGUUAUCACUGUGAGCAGCAACCUCUGAGGUGCUGGUUCAGCCUCCAAGAGAACUGACUUAGCAGAAAACUCUGUACAAACCCUGCCCCUGAAUUGCAUGCUUCAGAAGGCAGGGGUGUAUGUUAUCCAUACCACCCUGCACAUUCACUGACAUGUGGUAGGUACUCAAAAGACACCCAAGUUAGUUUCACAGAAGGAAAAAACAGGAAAGGAGGAAAGAAGGACUGAGACAUAUUUAUCAGUUUAUGUAUUGAAUUUUGCUGCUUCCUAUUGAUGGAGCAGCAUGGUGACCUCUAUUUUUAAUUUCAGAAAGCUGCUGGCAUUUAUUGAACAUUACAGUCUACUCUUGACUGAUCCUUUAUCAACAUAUGCCCUAGUCACCCAUUGAGGUCUGAAUUGGCAGUUACUCAGUGUGCCCCAAGUAUAACUUUGUGACCACAGGAGCCAGUGUUUUCUGUAAUUAUGCUCCUGGGCUGUGAAAUCUGUUCCCUGUUGAGAUUAAGAGAGGAGCAUCUGUUGCAGAAAUUGGGUUAAAGUGAAGGAGGUUCGCGUAUUUGCCGACACCUUUAAUCUUUACUAUUGCUGUCAUUUCAUUUUCAUUUUAUUUUAUUUAUUGCAGCACCGUAAAAUAAAAUGGCAGUAAUUACACCCACACUUACAUUAUUUUACCAAGUGCCAGACAUUGUUUAGUCCUUAUGUAAGUUUUAUCAGAAGUACUAAAAUUGUCUUUAUUUUACAGAUGAAAAAAUUUGAUGUGCACAGAGGUUAAGUAACUUUACCACUACUAUUCAUUAACAGAACCAGAAUGCAGUCCAAAUCAUCUUCCCCCACCAUGAUUAUAAAUGCAUUUCAACUAUA